rnacentral:rRNA from 1 species
GACGAACGCUGGCGGCGUGCUUAACACAUGCAAGUCGAACGGAAAGGCCCUGCUUUUGUGGGGUGCUCGAGUGGCGAACGGGUGAGUAACACGUGAGUAACCUGCCCUUGACUUUGGGAUAACUUCAGGAAACUGGGGCUAAUACCGGAUAGGAGCUCCUGCUGCAUGGUGGGGGUUGGAAAGUUUCGGCGGUUGGGGAUGGACUCGCGGCUUAUCAGCUUGUUGGUGGGGUAGUGGCUUACCAAGGCUUUGACGGGUAGCCGGCCUGAGAGGGUGACCGGCCACAUUGGGACUGAGAAACGGCCCAGACUCCUACGGGGGGCAGAAGGGGGGAAUAUGGCAAAAGGGGCGGAAGCCUAAUGCAGCAACGCCGGGUGCGGGAGGACGGCCUUCGGGUUGGAAACCGCUUUCGCCUGUGACGAAGCGUGAGUGACGGUAAUGGGGAAAGAAGCACCGGCUAACUACGU